rnacentral:rRNA from 1 species
UACGAAGGGUGCAAGCGUUGCUCGGAAUUAUUGGGCGUAAAGCGCACGUAGGCGGCAUCGCAAGUCCCAUGUGAAAGCCCACGGCUUAACCGUGGAAGUGCAUGGGAAACUGCAGUGCUUGAGUACUUAAGAGGAUCGCGGAAUUCCCGGUGUAGAGGUGAAAUUCGUAGAUAUCGGGAGGAACACCAGUGGCGAAGGCGGCGAUCUGGGAAGAUACUGACGCUGAGGUGCGAAAGCGUGGGGAGCAAACAGG